GAUGAACGCUGGCGGCGUGCCUAAUACAUGCAAGUCGAGCGAACAGACGAGGAGCUUGCUCCUCUGACGUUAGCGGCGGACGGGUGAGUAACACGUGGAUAACCUACCUAUAAGACUGGGAUAACUUCGGGAAACCGGAGCUAAUACCGGAUAAUAUAUUGAACCGCAUGGUUCAAUAGUGAAAGACGGUUUUGCUGUCACUUAUAGAUGGAUCCGCGCCGCAUUAGCUAGUUGGUAAGGUAACGGCUUACCAAGGCAACGAUGCGUAGCCGACCUGAGAGGGUGAUCGGCCACACUGGAACUGAGACACGGUCCAGACUCCUACGGGAGGCAGCAGUAGGGAAUCUUCCGCAAUGGGCGAAAGCCUGACGGAGCAAUGCCGCGUGAGUGAUGAAGGUCUUCGGAUCGUAAAACUCUGUUAUUAGGGAAGAACAAAUGUGUAAGUAACUAUGCACGUCUGGACGGUACCUAAUCAGAAAGCCACGGCGAACUACGU
rnacentral:rRNA from 1 species